CCUACGGUGUGCAGCAGUGGGGGAUAUUGCACAAUGGGGGAAACCCUGAUGCAGCGACGCCGCGUGUGGGCAGACGGUCCUCUGGAUUGUAAACCACUGUCCCCAGGGACGCCGAUGACGGUACCUGGGGAGGAAGCUCCGGCUAACUACGUGCCAGCAGCCGCGGUAAUACGUAGGGAGCAAGCGUUGUCCGGAAUUACUGGGUGUAAAGGGAGCGUAGGCGGGAUGGCAAGUUGUGUGUUAAAUCUACCGGCUCAACUGGUAGUCGCACUCAAAACUGCUAUUCUUGAGUGAAGUAGAGGCAGGCUGAAUUCCUAGUGUAGCGGUGAAAUGCGUAGAUAGUAGGAGGAACACCAGUGGCGAAGGAGGCCUGCUGGGCUUUUACUGACGCUGAGGCUCGAAAGUGUGGGGAGCAAACAGGAUUAGAUACCCGGGUAGUC
rnacentral:rRNA from 1 species